CUGCUAUAUGGCAUUUCAGCUCUUUCUAUUCGGAUUUUCACCCCAGAUGAGGGCAUCAAUGCCCCGCAAUGGCAACCCUAUUACAAUACCCAUAAAAUCAUCCAAAAUUAGCAGGUGUGCAACUCUGUUAUGCUCUCAGUGACGGAGGUAACUGAUUGGAACUUUGCAAACAACUCCUCUGAUAUACAAGAAAGAACAAAAAUGCAGUGCCUGAUUGCCACAUACAGUAGUCAUCCUGGGCAGUUAUAGGCUUUGUAUCUGGUGAGGAGGAGGAGGAGUUUGGGAGUCACAAUGUUAUGUGGAUGUCUUGGAAGGAG